rnacentral:snoRNA from 1 species
UGGGCUAAUGAUGGGAAUAGGUCAUGAACCAGGGGUUGUGAUGAACCAGAUUCUGUCCAUCUGAGGUCCUAG